CCCCUCCCCCGCCACAUUUUCCCUCCCUCUGGCUGCAAUCUAGUUGCGUGACCUGUUUGGAUUAUAAUUUUUUAGAUUUUUUUUUUGUAGAAAAUGCAUUGUAGGGAUUUGAUAUGUGAGGUAAAAAGAUAAUUGAAAAAUGUGUUCACAAAAAAUGUAAAUUUUUUUUUUAAAAAAAUGACUUUCCAAACAAGGUCAAAUUCGGGCCGAUUUUAGAAUAGUAGAUAACAUUUUUUCAAGACAAAGUAACGUAGAUAUAGACUCUUAAAUAGAAAUAUCUAACUGCUUAAAGUCAUGGAAGUAAAUUAAUGUAGAAGCUUUAACUAGUUUUAACGGGUGUUAUUGCUUAUCUAGUUAUCUUACUUUGUAGUUACGAGGCUAAAUCCGCACACCAUUUAACCUAGUCUAUUACUAAAACAAAAACAAAAACAAAAACCCAAGUUUCAGGCUUUUAGUCCCCGAUUCUACUUCUGCUUUUAGAUAUAAAUAGCAAGGGUGACCUAAGUAUGGCCUUUAUUCGUGUUUGCAUCUUGUCUUGUUGCCUAAAGAAGUAAAAAAGAGGAUAAAAAUGGCUUCAAAAUCUAUGGUUUCUUUUCUUUUGGUGCUUUGCAUUAUGGCAUCUUGUAAGUAUCUCUUUCUUUCCAGGAAAAUGCUAUAUAUAGUAGUUUGCCAAAACCACACCACUCAUCUUGUGUUUAUUUUUUUUCUUUUCUUUUCAGACUAAAUUAGUGUUUGUUUGUAUAAGACACCGUAUGAUACAGACAAAUUUCAGACCAAAUGUAUAAUAGUACCAUGAUUAGUUCUCACGUAUAUCAGCAAUUCUCUUUACUCUCUUUUGUUUUUUGUUUUUUUUUUGUUUUUGCUUGCAAAAAACUAAAUAAAAAGAAAUUAUGGCAGGUCUAUCAUCAGGAACUGAAGCAGUGCUUUGGCAUGCAUUUAAGGACUGGAUUUUGGGGAUUGACAGGCCCUGCGUAGUGCAGGCGGAGUGCGAUGUAUUGUGGUGUCCGUUUCUGAAAGCUCCACGCUGCGAAAUGCCUCCGAUGCGUGAUCAUCCUGGAAGGUGCAAAUGUGGACCGUGGCAUUGAUUUACCAGAAUUUGUUUGUUCUUGAAGGUGUAUGAAUAAACAAAACCCCAUGUAACUUUUCUCAAACAAAAGCGUUGAAAGAUCAAUGAUUUUCAAAUGCUGCUCUUCAUGUUCACGGUUGUGCCAAAAAUAACAAUGAAAUAAGCCUUCAAGCUACCAACUAUUUUUCAAUGAGAUAGCCUAACAUACAUACAUACAUAUAUGUGUGUGUGGUCUUACUUAUUGCAUUUCCCCUUUAAAAUGUUUUCAAUGUUUGAAAUUGAUCAUCUAAUUUUUAAGCAGUAUUGCAG
rnacentral:lncRNA from 1 species